GACGAACGCUGGCGGCGUGCCUAACACAUGCAAGUCGAACGGAGAAACUAUUUCGGUAAUUUCUUAGUGGCGAACGGGUGAGUAACACGUAAACAACCUGCCUUUUAGAUGGGGACAACAUCUCGAAAGGGAUGCUAAUACCGAAUGUUUUAGCUUUAUCGCAUGAUAGAGCUAAUAAAGGUGGCCUCUAUUUAUAAGCUAUCGCACAAAGAUGGGCUCGCGGCUGAUUAGAUAGUUGGCGGGGUAACGGCCCACCAAGUCGACGAUCAGUAGCCGGACUGAGAGGUUGAUCGGCCACAUUGGGACUGAGACACGGCCCAGACUCCUACGGGAGGCAGCAGUGAGGGAUAUUGCACAAUGGGGGAAACCCUGAUGCAGCGACGCCGCGUGAGGGAAGAAGGUUUUCGGAUUGUAAACCUCUGUCUUGUGGGACGAUAAUGACGGUACCACAGGAGGAAGCCACGGCUAACUACGUG
rnacentral:rRNA from 1 species